AAAUGAAAAAGGCAAACCUGCCGAAAGACAGGGACGCAAAGCUACGGGCCUAAGACGAAAGUUACGGCAGCCGGGUUGCCAUG
rnacentral:ncRNA from 2 species